UUGUCUUUCAGCUCCAGGUCAUCAUCACACAUGGACGGACUGUAUGUUCUUCUGCUAUUUUUCUCAGGAAUUGUUUCCUGCAGCCAUCAUUUGUUUUCUGGAUCAGUGUUGGAGGUGACAGCCAGACCUGGAGACAACAUCACUGUCUGCUGUGAUUGCAAAAUAUCAAAGGGAGUAUACAUCGUGUGGUUCAGGAACUGUUCCCAUGAGAACCAACCCACUCUUGUUCUAAAAUUAAAUGAUCGAAAACUGUGGGAAAGUACGGAAAAUCAGAAAUCUGAUUCAAAACCUCGUUUUGAACUUAUGAAGAGCCUUUCUUCUGAUUCCUGGGACCUGCUGAUCAAGAACAUCACUAAUGCUGACGAGGGCCUCUACUACUGUGGAACUGAGGAGAUGAAGAUGGAGAACAAAGACCACAUUACUGACGUAUAUAUUCACAGAUAUAGCAACAUGACAACAAGGAUCACAGUCAACUCCACUGGGCCUCAUCAAGAAAUCCAAGAAAACUGCAAGACUGAGCAAAACUGUGAUGUGUGCUGGAAGCUGCUCUUCUCUCUGUGUCCAGCUGUUGCUGUUCUUUCUUCUCUCUUCUCUCUUCUGGUUUACAAGCUUUGCCAGAAAACAGCAACAAAACAUCAGGAUGAUGAGAAAAGACAUGAGAGCAGAAGUCAAGGAAAACAGGAUGACGACGUGUGUUAUGCUGCCCUGGAUAUCCGUCAACCAUCACAGAGACCAAAGAGGAAGCAAACCCAGAGCUCAGACUUCAGCACAUAUUCUGCCAUCAAAACUUCCAGGGUGUAAGGGAAUAGUAAAUGGUCUGCAUUUAGAGUAAAUUGUGCAUUGUAACUUCCACAACUUCCACAACAAAGCGCUUUGCAGUGUUCACUUGAGCCACAGGACCUUUGCUGCUGUCACUCACUUUUGAUUUUAUUACAGUUUGACCACCACAGUCUACAUACAUUCUUGUCAUUUCUUGUUGUAGAUUUACUAAAUAGUAGAUUAAUCUUCUGUGUUUUGUUCUUUCCACCACUUCAACUGAUUAAAAAUUGACUAUCUGCUCAGAAACCUCUAGACAGAGACUCUUGUUGUUGAAAAACCACACUGACAAACUGCCCCCCAUGCAACUCAACAAUUUCUUGAAUCGCUAUAAUUGUGAAACUAAAAUGGCAAACUGUAUGUAUUGUGAGAAAAACCCAAACACUUGUUAGAAUUUGAGGCUCUGCAGCCACUGUAGCUACAGUACCAGUCAAAAAUUUGGCCACAAACUCAUUCAAUACUUUUUUCCCUGCAUUGUAGUAAAAUACUGUAUGCAUCAAAACUUUGAAAUCACACAUUUCGAUUCAUAUAGUAAGCAAAAGCAUUAAUACAUUUUCCACACGAUUGCCUUCUCUGAACCAGCUUUAUGAGUUUCUAACAAUGAAACUCAACAGUCUUCAGGUCAGGUGAUUGUUGAGGCCAAAUCAUAUAAUACUGGUCUCCAUUACUUCAUGGUAUAAUAGUCCUCACAGAGCCUGGAGGUGUGUUUUGGUUCACUUGGAAAGACUGAUUGAGGCUCUGAUAAGUACUGUUAAGAGUUGAUUUCUAAGACUGGUAUUGAAUGACCAUCUGCAACUGGUUGUAUUCUCAGUCACGAAUCCACUACCUCAGUGGCUGCACCUGCCAAACACUGUGUCCUCCAGGCUGCACGCCUGCUCCGCUCACCAUCCCUUCCCCAUUCCUCUUGCUGAUCGCCAGUUAAGUUCUCUGUUCCUCUGCUGGGUUCUUGUAGUAAUAGUUAUAGUCUAUCUAGAUUUCCAAAGCUUGUUUGUAGCAAGUUUGGGUUAACCUAUAUAGCUAAGUUCUUUGUAUUUGCUUUGUGAAAAUUUCCCGAGUUGUAUUUUUUUCACCACUCCAACAGAGGUCUCUCUAGUUCUGUAUUUGGGUUAAAAGGUUGUUUUGAUAUUCUUUUGCCACACUAGCAGAGGUCUCUCCAGUUUGGUGUUGUGGUUGUUCUUGAGUCAUUUCCGUUUCCUGUAUUUUUGUGUAAAUGUUGCACAUAAAUUUUAUUGUUGGAAAUGC